rnacentral:snRNA from 1 species
AUACUUACCUGGACGGUGUCUAUGGCUGAUCAAGAAGGGUCGUGGCCUAAGUUGAUGAUCUUAAUUGCACCUAGGAAGGUUAUCAACUUAUCCACUCCCCAUGUGGGAGUCGCACGUCAUAAUUUGUUUCUUGGGGGUACGUGUUCGGUAUUCGCACCGCUCCUG